UGUAGUUAGCCUGCUUCGAUUAGUGUGCACUACCAACCUGACGCCACCGUAUCGAGCCACCAAACGUCAAAUGGUCCGCUGAAAUCAAAACUGCCGUCUGAUAAGAAUCAGACCGCUGCGGUCACCAAGAACGAGACCGGAUAAACCUCCCUUUCGCUUGGGCAGCGCUCUAAAAAUAUGUGUCAAUGUGUCAAACACGACCCAGCAGCACACCAGCAGAGAGCAGUGGUGACGCGCAUUUGGGAAGCAGAUCAGGGGAGCGGGAAGCCUCCCCCCCCCCCUCGCUUGCUGUCACCGACUGCAAGGUCUGCGGAGUGCUCUGUGCAGCUGCUCCCCCUGACUGGCCUGAAGCCUUCCGCGGACCCGGAGAUGGUCUAAGGCGAAUCUAACGAGUUCACCGGUAUGGUAUGGUCGUGUCGUGGCGGAGCUCGAUCGUUCGCCGGAGAACGUACGCCGCAGCGUAUAUAGGCUUUCAAGUUCAAGUGUAACGGAGCGAACGAAAGGAACUGACGGUUGGUGGCUCUCGCACUUGGCAGGUUGGCAAGCCGUUUGCGAUACCUUCCCCCGAACGCGUGAAGGUCGUGACCUUGGGUCGGUCAUCAGAAAUAAAAUAUAACUGGAGCAAUGGAGUACGGUGCGUGUUCUACCAGGCAACGGAAUAGCG